rnacentral:misc_RNA from 1 species
CAAUUCUCUUUCAUUUCAUGUCGAAAUACGGUGCCGUUCCAGUAGCAUUUCGCAGCACCUCCAAUUCUAUUGUAAUUGUUAUUUAAAUUGCGAGUUAUACAAGUAAGUCAGAGAUCGUUUGGAAAUUUGUGUUGCAUCAAGUUGAACGGAAUUCCCCAACGAUGUCGAAAGAGGAGCGUGAAGCUGCCAUCAAUCAAAAGAUUGAGGAAAUUCGUAGGAAAAACGCAACCAUAACGCAGCGAUAUCAAGAAAUAGAAAAUGAUAAAAAGAACGCGGAAAAUUUUAGUCUAGUAGCAACCCAACGCAUGAAAACGCGUUCCGUGACUGAAAAUGACGUUGACGACAACAGUCCCACCGUGAAACAGCCAGCAGCAGCGCGCCCUGAAAAAAGCGAAAUGAAUCGUGAGCCAAAAGAGCCGCGCAAAAUAAAAAAAAAGCAUUCCGUUUCCGAUUUGGCUGCGACUACUGACUUUCGUCCCCAACGAUUAACAGAGAACGAUUUGCCUCCACCGGAUCCGGUGUUUUCCUACCUAACCGACCGGUUGCGGGAGGGAGCCUUUUGCGCACCCAUCAGUCCGGCAGCCAAUCGCAGACACAGCACGUCAUCUCAAUCCAGUGAAAUGAGUAUCGGCAGUAGUAGCCGAAGCAAUAAUUCUAGGAGGACCUCGACGACUUCCAACUCAUCUUGGACGAGUGACACAUCUUCAAAGUAUGACGGCUUUUCCAAUUAUCAGCCGCCGAGGAGAUAUUCGGUGUGCCGUGAUUACGUUCGUAAUCGACGGUUGAGUGAGCAACUGAAUACUUCUGACGAAAAAGAAGAUGAACAGUGGAAUUACAAUAAGCAAGGCCAAUUCCAACAGAAUAAUAAAGAUUUUAAGAAAUCAUUUCAAAGCAACACUGCUGCUCGUGAUCGGGAAACUGGAAAAGUUACAUGGGUAUCAUCGGAUGGACCGGAAUCCCAGAUUAGCGAGAUUACUGGAGGAUCCACAUUGCAACCUUGGAAGAGAGAAAUAUCUGUGACAAAUUCCAGGUCCGAGUAUGUGACAAAUUGGCGUGAUCGACACAUCGGCUACACUACUACUGCAGAAACAGAUUUUACUUCCAUUGAUGAAGGUGUAGCGCAGCUUGCGGUGUCUGUUGAAGACCCAAAUAACAACAAUGACAUGAUCAACCAUAACAUGCCGAUUGUUUGAAACAAAAAUGGAAUCAAAUCACUCGCUGAUAAACACAGUUUUUUUUAUAAAGUUUGAACAGACCAGUUCUUCCUGUUAAAUUAUUUGUUUUGUAUUUAUUUACUUCUAACAGCUUAGCCGUAGCUAUUCUGCUGAACGGAGGUUAAUAUUCGGGUCCUUUUUUAGGUAUAUUGGGUUGCCAAUAGAAAGGUGUGUAGAGGAAGGUAAGCGGGAUGGUGGCCGUCGCCCAAUGAGAUCAAAAGUGAUUGAUUUUGAUUUUACGGAAAUCUUAUCGCUAACGCCAUCAUUUUCUCCAAGCUAUCUAGCGUUCAUAGGAACAAACUCUUCAGCUUUUACUGUUUGGCUGCGAAAAAAAAAACAUUUUCGGCAAAAAUAAUGGACUAAAAGGGGUGUUAAAGUUUGUUACAUUGACCCAAGCUUCCAAUAUUUUUUUAAAAUUUAUUAUUUAGUAACUAUCGAUUCUGCGAUGGAUUUACAAUAUUUAAAUUUAUGGGCGCAGCCAAAAUGGGUGAAGUAGGUGACGCACGGUAAAUUUAAUGUCAUUGGCUUAAAUCUAAAUAAUAAAAAAAAAUAUUGGUUAUAAAGUGACUGGAUUUUUUCUAUGACGUGUUAAAUUUCAUUAUUUAUUUUAUUUAUAAUAAUUUCGGUAAACACACAAAAUACCCUUCUUUUCAUUCCACAUCGUAAUAGUAAACUUUUCUAAACAUACGUACAAAUAACAACUAAAAAAAUUAACGCAAACGAUAUCCAAUCGUAUUGAUAAAUUCACCACUAGAUCGAUUAUAAUUUAACCGCUACCGAAAAAAACAAAUUGCCCUGCUCCCGGAAUCCGCUGGACGGAUCGUUUUUUCCGCCAUUCUCUUUCAGUCUUUCCUACAUCAUCGUUAUGUUGCAAUGAACGUACGUUGAUACUGACGUACCAGAAUCAACAUGAUCAGAUAUGAAGUUUAAGGCUUAUCUUGGUAAAAACCCUCUUGGUAAACCAAAAGGAAAUAAUGUAAAUUGUGGUAAGUAAAUCCGUUUUGUUUCGCGCAAUUUUUCAGAGUAUUUUUUCUUCGAUAUAGAGAGACUGAUACUGCCAAAAACUGGUGGUAACAUUUUGGAUGUAUUAACAUUUUUUGCGCGAUAAAGAAGUAUAUCAAAAGUAUUAUUACAAUAAUAUUAAUACCACUCUUUUUCUUAUUCAAAUAAUUGUGAGAAACUGUUCCGUGCAUACGUAUCAGUUGCAUGACAUACAAUGACGCAAUCAAUUAACCACUGCGUACUACAUGUUGUGUGGGCUACAAUAAUUUAUCAAUUAAAACGUUGUAAUUUAACUUAAAUUAAGACAUAACCCUCUCCAGAUUUUUUAAAAAUACUUGCGAAUAAUAACACCCGCUGAGUAGGCAAUAUUUGAAUUUUUGGCGGUGAAACUUGAUAUGUUGAUUUGUUUCAAUUUUCCGAAGAUAUUAUUUAUUGAGGAUGGUAGAAGAACU